AUUGAACGCUGGCGGCAGGCCUAACACAUGCAAGUCGAGCGAGCGGCGGACGGGUGAGUUAUGCCUGGGAAUUGCCCAGUCGAGGGGGAUCACCGUUGGACACGCCUUCUAAUACCACAUUCGCUUGGAUUGCCUAUGUGGGUUUAGCUAGUUGGUGAGGGAAUGGCUCACCAAGGCGACGAUCCCUCGCUGGUGUGAGAGGAUGAUCAGCCACACUGGAAAUGAGACACGGUCCAGACUCCUACGGGAGGCAGCAGUGGGGAAUAUUGCACAAUGGGCGAAAGCCUGAUGCAGCCAUGCCGCGUGUAUGAAGAAGGCCUUAGGGUUGUAAAGCACUGUCAGCGGGGAGGCGUUACUCGCAGAAGAAGCACCGGCUAACUCCGUGCCAGCAGCCGCGGUAAUAC
rnacentral:rRNA from 1 species